CCGUAAGAGACCCUAGGGUCUUGAGACUGUGUCCAAAUGGACGCGUGCUCGACUCUUCUUUCUUUAUCCACACACCUCUGUGCACUAUGGGAUGUAAAAGUCCCCUUUUUCAUACAAAAACCGAGUUAUAUGCAUGGUAUUUUAUGCUCUACGGAGUAACAUA
rnacentral:misc_RNA from 1 species